GACGAACGCUGGCGGCGUGCUUAACACAUGCAAGUCGAACGGAAAGGCCCUGCUUUUGUGGGGUGCUCGAGUGGCGAACGGGUGAGUAACACGUGAGUAACCUGCCCUUGACUUUGGGAUAACUUCAGGAAACUGGGGCUAAUACCGGAUAGGAGCUCCUGCUGCAUGGUGGGGGUUGGAAAGUUUCGGCGGUUGGUGAUGGACUCGCGGCUUAUCAGCUUGUUGGUGGGGUAGUGGCUUACCAAGGCUUUGACGGGUAGCCGGCCUGAGAGGGUGACCGGCCACAUUGGGACUGAGAUACGGCCCAGACUGCUACGGGAGGCAGCAGUGGGGAAUAUUGCACGAUGGGCGGAGGCCUGAUGCAGCAGCGCCGCGUGCGGGAUGACGGCCUUCGGGUUGUAAACCGCUUUCGCCUGUGACGAAGCGUGAGUGACGGUAAUGGGUAAAGAAGCACCGGCUAACUACGUG
rnacentral:rRNA from 1 species